GUCUAAGGCCAUACGAUCCUGACUGCACUUGAUCACUUCUGAUCUCAGAAGCUAAUCUGGGUCAGGCCUGGUGAGUACUUGAAUGGGAGGAAUACGUCUGACCCACAGCAGCCUUCCUCA
ensembl:rRNA 5S_rRNA 5S ribosomal RNA